GGAGUAAAUGCAGUGCUCCAUGUUGUUCCCACCCCCCUCAUCAUUGACUUUGAGAGCUGUUCGUUGAGGGGGGGGGGAGCAACUUAUGCAAGGCAGGUGGAAGUGGUUAGUGGGGAAAGUAGCCAAGUUUCCAGGCCUCAUGGAGGGGGUGGAGGUGGUAUAAAAGGUGGUUGGCUGGGCUGUUCUCGUGAUUGUUUUUUAAAGACUUUUUGCAAGGGGUUUUUAUUGUUGUCAGGGGGUUGUGUUUUCCUUUUUGCUAUUGUUCAGGUCAGUAAUACACUAUGGGAAAGAUAACUUUGUGUAUUUUUAUGCUGUUGGUACGUACGGUGGGUGCUUUUGAGGGGACCCAAGGGGUGGUCUCUGAGGCACAACCCACAGAGUCUUCCCCAGAUGCAACAAGGAUUCCUGAUGGUCCAGCAAUGGUGACUAGUUUGAACCAGACAACCACCCUGUCGGCAUUUUUGCCUGGAGAUGCGACCACAGCUCUUCCGACCAGAUCACUUAAACGGUUUUUUUAUGGCACCACCGGUCUGUUCCUCAUAAUGAGCAUCGCUGCUUGCAUGUGCUCGUGGUCGUCUAAAUUGCGACAGCGGCUGGCCAAAAAGCAUAUGGCUGUUGACUGGUCUUCCACCUCCUCUCAAGACGGCGACGACGACUUUUCUCUCAGUAGCUUCCAAGCAGAGGGGUCAGAAGAGGGGUCAGAAGAGGCUCUGAGCAUCAAGGGCUUGUCCUCGGCAGAUCCUGUGGUGAAGUUCCGUCGGGCAAAACCUGGAAAGCCAAAUGAUCCGGUGGUCUCCUCUCUUCCAGGAGAUGUUCUGGACUUGUAGUCCCAAGAUCAAGCUUGAACCAUCAGGAAGCCAGGGAACUACCUGGAGAGUCACCUGUAAUGGCUAGGUAUGCCUACUUGUUGCACAGCUGUAGUUGGAUUUCUGAGUCAAGGAAAUAGAGGAAUAAACUUUUGGGGAAUAUGCUUUUCAGACUAAGGAAGCUGACUCUGUGAUUAUGCCCUUUCAAAGGACGUAUUAACUAGUUUUUAUCCAUUAGAAUGUUAGUGUUUUCCUUGCCCAGAGUUGUGCACCUUCUUGCAAAUGACUUGUUGUGAUAAGGGUGAAGAGAAGGGUAUAUGAUCCCCCCCGCCCCACAAUCAAUGCUGUAUCUCAGAGAAACAGGAAUUCCAGUCCUACCUAGACAACUUAAAUUAUGCUCCUGUCCUUCCUUAAUGGGAACAGAGCAGAAACCAGGGGAGCUUCAUGUCCACUUCUUCCCUCUUGUCCUGGCCUUGGUAGCCAGCAGAUGACCCUUCUUUGUCCUGUGAGACCAUGGGAGAAUAUACAGGGCUUGUCCCUGAAGUUUAAAUGGCCAAUGAAUGCUCCUCUUUCUUGAAAACAAAGCCUGUACUGAAGCCUCUGCCUUUAAAGGAGGAGAACCGUCUCUAUGGGGUUCUGUCCAAACCAAGGGCAUGGGGAGAAAGGAUCAGGCUCAUAGUGUGUUUAUUCCACUGUAUCCUUUAGCCGCACUCAUUUCCUUUAGCUUCACUCAUUCCCACAGCUUCAUGGGAGCAGGCAAAAGUCCCUGCAAGCAGCUCUCUUGAAACGACUGCAGAAGGCAACGUAUUUUGGAUCCUUGGGGGUCAGCCUUGCCCGGAUGCCUUCCGUCCCAGGGUCAUGUGCUUCACGCCAGCUUCCCUGGCAAGAAUUCUUCUGGUGUUUGGCUGUAGCUGGGGCUGAAUGAAUUCCUCUCUCUGUUUCCUGGGGGCUUCUUGCCCCCCACCAGCAAUGGGGUGAUGGUGCCACACGACAGAUUAUUGACAUCUCCGGCUUGGGCAUUUUGUGAACUUUGGGGGCAAUAAUCUUGAUGAGACAACAUGGGCCUCUGGAAACAUGUGUCCCCUGAAUGGAAUGCUUCUGAUACAAAUUUCCAUGGUGUGUUUUUAAACCUACAUUUUAUGCUUGUAAUUGUGUGAGUGAACUAUCAAUAAAAACGAUAUAAAUUA